CCUUCCCUAAGUUCUCCCAGGGCGCUGCCAGAGCCCUGCCGGCUAAGGGAUGGGGAAACAAACAGGUGGGGCUGUAAUCUCGUAAUUCCCAGUCAAAAGAGGUAGGAAGGGAUGCUGAGGACCCAGGGAUACUGAUGAUUGGGCUGACCCAGAAGUGGCCAUCUUUGUGGAAACCAGGCUGGAGUGCAAUGGUGUGAUCUCAGCUCACUGCAACCUCCACCUCCAGGGUUCAAGCAAUUCUACUGCCUCAGCCUCCCGAGUAGCUGGCAUUACAGGCGCAUGCAACCACGCCCAGCUAAUUUUUUGCAUUUUUAGUAGAGACGGGGUUUCACCGUGUUGGCUAGGCUGGUCUCAAACUCCUGAUCUCAGGUCAUCUGCCUGCCUCAGCCUCCCAAAGUGCUGCAAUCACAGGCAUGAGCCACCUGGCCUGUUUUUUAAAAAGCCUAAGCCUGUUGACCCCAGGCUCCACAAUCUUCAAUUUUCCGAGUCUCAGUUUUUUUUUCAUGAGUAAAAUAGAGGUAAUACCUACCUCACAGAGAUUUUGUGAAGAUUAAAUGAAACAGUGUCUGGACCAUAAGUGCCCAAUAUAAAGUCAUCCAGAGUAAAGUCAUAGGGCUCAAAGUCUUUCCGGAAGCGGCGAGCCAGGGUCUCCUCGUCUUCCUUGCUGAUCUGACACUGCCUCCAGUCAGACUUAUCAGGAACAUUAAGGAUGGCUUCACUGGCCAGGACCUCCCUGCAGAAAUAGCACAAAGAAGUCAAAAUGGAAACUAUCAGCCUGAGCUCUCCUCAACAUCACCCAAAGGAGGUAUGCAAAUUUCUCUGACUUUGCUCUCCUGCCCUGAGUGCCAUCUCUGCCAUACUAUUGAUCAAAAUCAUACCCGUUUUAAAUGACCAGCUCAGGUACUAUAUAUUUCCUGAUCCUUCAAACCCCACUUGCUUCUCCCUCUCUUAAAAAACUUGGAACUAUAUUAUUGGUACUUAGAGAAGCAACACCACAUAGAAAAAGGGCAGGCCCUGGUGUGAGAAAGAUCAGAGACUGGAUCCCAUUUCCAGCUUUGCCACUUGCUAUCUAUGAUCUAGACAGAUGAUUUCAUCUCUGAGUCUUGAUUUCCUCACCUAUGAAAUGCAAAUAAGAACACCCACCAUACAGGGUUUUUGUGAGGUACAGAGAUAACACAGUCAAAGUGCCAUAUUAGCUGUGAUUACAACCUGCCUUAAACUGUAGUUUUGUCACCUCAACUAGACAUGAGUUUGCAGAGUCAGGAGCCUAGUCAUACCCACUCUGAUUUAAAAUUCCUCUGCCUCUCCUUCUAGGGGACUCAGGCCCACGUAACAGCAGCACAAGCCCAAUGUCAACAAAACAACUAUCUUGGCUCUUAGGACUAAAGAAUAACUACAUACAGACACACUCACACACAAGCUGCCUUCUAAUCGCCAUUGCUUUAUAUUUUUAUUUUUACUUAUUUUGAUAUAUUAGAAAUAAUUCUAUUACACAUUUAUAUGGUUCAUUUUCCACUUUGAAGUUACAGUAAAUAGAAGAGUUAGAAACAAAUCAUGAAUUCUCUAUAAGUCAAAGAACCUAAGCUCCCUGGGCAAACUUUGAGCCUAUUUCAAAUAUAAAAGGAAAAUAGAACUACCUUUCUUGUACAGCUGAAAAAAAUAUGCCAUUUCAAAUAUUUUGUUAACUAUAAAAUGCUAUAUAACUAUAAAUUAGUAUCUUGAUAAUUACUCAAUAUUGAAAAUACAUCAUAAGCACAAAACCAUUCAGAGAAUCUUCUUUUUGUGUGCUUUAUACGCCUAUGUGUAUCUGCAAUCGUGUGCUUAUGUUGUCAAUGUUCAUAACCGCAUCUGUUGCUGAGGCAACAACGAAAACAUCACGUCAGAUGUCUGAAUCUCGUAGCACACUUGUUCCCAUUUAUCUUUUUGAAAAAUGUAGACAACUACAUUUACUGGACUUAUCUAAGGGGGCAAUCUCUUGGAGGCUUUCUGAAUUAGUCCAAGACAGGUUCAAGGCUCACUCAAAGCCCAUUUUUAACUAGGGGAGAAAAAACAGCUGCAAAUCACAGACACCAGCAUCAGAUACUCUGUUCUACACAUUUUCCACUCCCCUUCAAACUGUAUCUUCUUGCCAGCAACUUCCCAUCUUCAAUCUUUGCUUAAGUUAUGUUACUCCCUCUAUGGUUUUGCAGUCAUGUUUUGCCUGAUACGAGGAACAGAACUGAAGCCUCCUCUAGGCCUUUACCAUACUGUAGAACACUGAGGUUAAGACCUCAAGUUUUGAGGUCCAACAGGCCUGGGUUUGAACCUACCACUGUGUGACUAGGACAAGCUACCUAAGCUCUCUACAGCCUGCUAUCCAGUGGGGUAACCAUUAGCCAGGUAUGGCUAUUUAAAUUUAAAUUCUAAUUAAUUAAAUAAAAUCAAAAAUUUAGUUCCUCAGUCACAUUAGCCACAUUUCAGCACUCAGUGGCCACAAGUGGCUAGUCACAACUGUAUUGGACAGUGCAGAUAUUUGAGCAUUUCCAUCGUUGUGAAAAGUCUACCGGGCACUGCUCUAGAGCCUCAUUUUCCACACUGGUAAAUCGGGAUGACAGUACCUACCUUACAGAGUUAUGAAGAUUAAAUGAGUCAUGUAUGUGUAAAGUUCUUGGUACAGUUCUUGGCACAGAGUAUGUGCUCAAUUAAAGUUCCCUAGCACUUCUGGCUAGAAUGCCCUCACCUCAAUCUUUGCCCUCUAAAUAUGCCUCUCAGGUUCAACUUUGCCACUUUCAUGAAGGCUUUCACCAACUAGAAAUGAGCUGUCCCUUUUCUGAAUUUCUACAGCACAUUGUUCUCCAAAACUCUGUCAUGGUACUCUUCACAUUCUACAUUACAUUACUGUCAUAUAUGUAAACAUCUGCCCUAAGACCAUGGGUCCUCUGGGGCAAGGACUGUUUACAAUUUAGCUUUUUAUCAAUUGUCCCAUGUAGCCCACCACUCUGUUCAUAGCAGGUCUAGUGAAAAUACAUUGAAAAGAAGAAAAACAUACCUUCCAAACUGCAAAGGAAAAUUCUUUUUAAUUCUGUGGAAAAGCUUUUCUCCUGUGUCAAGUUCAACAUAAAAAUAUGCUGCUCCUGGCUGUGCAAUCUAAAGUAAACAGAGUUGUAUGAGGAUGUCCAAUAAUGCUUUAAAAAUCUAUAAUCUGAGUUCAUCUCUAGGCAAAUAAUUCAGUCUAAAUGCACAAGAAAAAAAGAUAUGUAUGUUGCUAUAGAUCCCAAGCCACUUAGUGGAACUAGGGCUUAAAAAGUCUAACUGGAAGAUACUAACAAUAUCCUCCCAGUGGCGUCUAUCCUUCUAAGUUCCUACCUUAGGAAAUUCUAAUUUCUUGCUCUUCCCAGGAAAGCACUAAACUUUGGAGUAAUGCCCUGUUCAUCUCCAGUCUAGUCAAUACCCAGUGCUCUAGUUCCAAAUUGUCCACUGCCUCUUUUUUUUUUUUUUUUUUUUAGAGACAGGGUCUUGCGAUGUUGCCCAGGCUGAAGUACAGUGGUGCAAUCAUACCUCACUGCAUCCUCAAACUCCUAGGCUUAAGUGAUCCUCCUGACUCUCAGCCUCCUGAGUAGCUAAGACUACAGGCACAUGCCACCAUGCCAAGCUUAUUUUUUUAUUUUUUGUAGAGACAAGGUGUCUCACUUUGUUGCCCAGGCUGGUAUCAAACUCCUGGCUUCAAGUGCUCCUCCCGCCUCAGCCUCCCAAAGUGUUGGAUUACAGGUGUGAGCUACCAUGCCCAACCCAUUGCCUAUUUAAUAACAUUUUUGGAAUGCCUUGAUAGCUCAACAUGUCAAAAACCUUAGGCUCAACAUGUCAAAAACCAGAUCUUGCCAGGCGUGGGUGGCUCAUGCCUGUAAUACCUUCGGGAGGCCAAGGCAGGCAGAUCACAAGGUCAGGAGUUCGAGACCAGCCUGGCCAAUAUGGUGAAACCCCGUCUCGACUAAAAAUACAAAAAGUAGCCAGGUAUGGUGGCGCAUGCCUGUAGUCCCAGCUACUGGGGAGGCUGAGGCAGGAGAAUCACUUGAACCCGGAAGGCGGAGGUUGCAGUGAGCCAAGAUCAUGCCACUGCACUCCAACCUAGGCAACAGAGCAAGACUCUGUCUCAAACAAACAAACAAACAACAAACAACAACAAAAAAAACAGAUAUUUACUCUUCCCUGAAUAUCACCAUCCCCUGUUUCACCUGCUUGAUGUCAGAGUGCUCUGGGAUUUCCAACAGCUCUAUCUGCUGCUCCUGUGCCUGGGUAAUGAAGGCAUCUUUAAUGUCAUCAGUAGUAGAGCAGCUGAUUGGGACAGGAAUGACCUGGGGGUUGGGGAGACAGGAGAAAUUCCUUGUGCAGGUCCCAGAGAAGUUGUGCCUGCACAGUCUCUGAGAAGUAGCAAAUCCAUCACAGGGGUGGAGAAACACCCCUCAGCACAGAAUAUCCUCAGGCCAGACAAGCCUGUGUCAGCCUGUCUGUAAGGACUUAAACUUAUGAGAUAGCCUGACACAUGUGGGAGCCAUUCUCUGAUGCAGGAAAGGCUUAAGAGAGAUAUCUCCGUCACAAGCCUUUGCCAUCUCCGAUAUUAUAUAUGUGGCAGAGUUAGGCCCAUUUGAAAACUUAACAAAUGUGCCAAAAAGAAAACCACCACAACUACAAAUGAUUUACAAUCUGAUUUUCUGAGCUGCUAGCCCCAUGCAGGCUUUGAGACUAUUUCCUACCACUAAGCUUUCCCUCAUGCUGGGCCUCCACACAAAAUACUCACUUUCUUCCAAAUUCUUAUCCAGCAAGCCCCACAUCUUCCUUGGAACUUCCUCAACUACCCAUUCCUUUUCUAAACAAGGAACUUACUAUCUAUGCUGUUUACAUGUACUGACCACACACUUCCCUGUGAAGUCUCUGGGGUUACCACCAGAUACUCUUUAAAAACUUUUUAAAUGAAUGUUAUUUAAAUAUUAAUAUAAAAAUAUUAAAUAUUUUACAUAUUAAAGCUAAACUUUAUAUAAUUUUUUUUUUAAAGAUGGAGUCUCGCUCUGUUGCCCAGGCUGGAGUGCAGUGGCACAAUCUCGGCUCACUGCAACCUCUGCCUCCCAGGUUCAAGCUAUUCUCCUGUCUCAGCCUCCCGAGUAGCUGGGAUUACAGGCAUGCACCACCACGCCCAGCUAAUUUUUUUGUACUUUUAGUAGAGACAGGGUUUCACCGUGUUGCCCAGGCUGGUCUUGAACUCCUGAGCUCAGGCAAUCCAACCGCUUCGGCCUCCCAAAGUGCUAGGAUUACAGGCGUGAGCCACCUCGCCCAGCCUAUUUAAAUACUUAUUUACCAAUAUCAAAGUCCCCAUAGCGCCCUUCCAAGUUUCUAUGAACAGACCACCUACCUGUAGCUGGAGGUGAUGGCUCUUAUAAUUUCUCUCAAAUACAACACACCAUUUCCCUCGACUCUUAAAGAACCGUCUCAGAGUGGCCUUAUACUUCUCCACCUCUUCUACCACCUCUGCUGAAAGCUCCACCACUGACUGGUAGUGUCCAAUAGGCAGGAUGAGGACAUGGUCAUCAGAUAAGCCUCCUUUGGCCAGGGCAAGGUAGCACUGAAGAAGCAGCACACAGAAUUGAGACAUCAAUACAGCAUGUAGGAUUCUCCAGGGAGAAAAACCUAUACAAAAAGUGAGCCUGAGGGUGUAGGCGAAAAGUACUUGAGGUUAUUAAUAAAAAUUCUUUCUUGAAAAAAUCUGAUUUUAGAGAUUGUAGCAACAAUGUUCUCAGGUAUCCGCUGAAGAGUGAGAUUCGGCAUGAAAAUUUCUAUGCAAGUAGCAAAUGAACUAGGAGCAAAUGAAUUGGGAGAGGCACACAAGCAGGCUUUUGGCUUCAAACACACUGAGCUGAGGGAGACCAGAACAAAUCGCUGGGUUUUCCCUCCCAUGCUCCAAACUUGAAAACAGUUUUUCAGUUUUUAUCACCCUCAACCACAAAAAGAUACAACUUCUGAUUUCAAAAUGACCACUUUCGGCUGGGAUAGUGGCUCACGCUUGUAAUCCCAAAACUUUGAGAGGCCGAGGCAGGUGGACCGCCUGAGGUCAGAAGUUCCAGACUAGGCUGACCAAUAUGGUGAAACCUCAUUUCUACUAAAAAU
rnacentral:lncRNA from 1 species